AUACGGAGGGUGCGAGCGUUAAUCGGAAUUACUGGGCGUAAAGGGUGCGUAGGCGGCUUGAUAAGUCGGAUGUGAAAGCCCCGGGCUUAACCUGGGAAUUGCAUUCGGUACUGUCAGGCUAGAGUAUGUCAGAGGUUGGCGGAAUUCCUGGUGUAGCGGUGAAAUGCGUAGAUAUCAGGAGGAACACCAGUGGCGAAGGCGGCUAACUGGGGCAAUACUGACGCUGAGGCACGAAAGCGUGGGGAGCAAACAGGAUUAGAAACCCUAGUAGUCC
rnacentral:rRNA from 1 species